rnacentral:rRNA from 1 species
GACAAACGCUGGCGGCGUGCUUAACACAUGCAAGUCGAACGAUGAACUUGGAGCUUGCUCUGGGGGAUUAGUGGCGAACGGGUGAGUAACACGUGAGUAACCUGCCCUGGACUCUGGGAUAACUUCGAGAAAUCGGAGCUAAUACCGGAUAGGACCUUGCACCGCAUGGUGGGGGGUGGAAAGUUUUUCGGUUUGGGAUGGACUCGCGGCCUAUCAGCUUGUUGGUGAGGUAAUGGCUCACCAAGGCGUCGACGGGUAGCCGGCCUGAGAGGGUGACCGGCCACACUGGGACUGAGACACGGCCCAGACUCCUACGGGAGGCAGCAGUGGGGAAUAUUGCACAAUGGGCGCAGGCCUGAUGCAGCAACGCCGCGUGCGGGAUGACGGCCUUCGGGUUGUAAACCGCCUUUAGUAGGGAAGAAGCCUUCGGGUGACGGUACCUGCAGAAAAAGGACCGGCUAACUACGUGCCAGCCGCCGCAGUAAGAC